GGUCACCUCCUCCAUGGACUGCUCAGUUAGGACCUGGGACCUGCCCACUGGAAGCAUAGCUCUCUCUCCGUCAGGUGACUUUCUGGCAACCACCCACCUUGAUGACCUCGACAUUUACCUGUGAUCCAACAAGACCAUGUUACUCUCAUGUUUCACUCUGUCCACUAUCAGAAAUAACCAAACCUACUUUUACCGAUCUACCUACUACCAAGCUGACAGAGCACGAUGAAACUGAUGUUGAAUCAAACACACAAAGAAACGAAAAUGAACUAACGAUGCAUGGACGAAGUUUUCGAGAAGUGUACGUACACCUCUUGCUGAGGGUUUAGUAACUCAUCCAUGCUACCAAAGUCCAGACGGUCUAAUCUACAAAACCUCGACAUAAUCAAGCAACGGAACAAACCUAUGUAGCCAGCAAAAACUCCAAAACUGGCACCAUUUUCCCUCCCCACUCUCCCUGGCCUGCAGCCGAAGUUUCUCCCAUCUGAGGAGGGUAGUGACAUCCCAGUUACCGAAGUGGGUGUGGGGUCCAAGAUAUUCAACCUAGGGGAGCUCAAUCCUCUCUCAGAAUUUCAAAAGUGCCUUCAACAAUGUGCUGGUAGCAACCAAUAUGCCCCCCUGAUGGGCCUAAUGAAAGAGCUACCUCCUGCGUCCAUAGAUGCUGAGACUUUGAGUUGGUACAGUCGUAUAUUGGCUCAAGCUGCAUUCCAGUCUGAUUUUUAAAAGCCCUAACCUUUUGACAUUGACAGAGAAGCUAUACUCUCCAACACAAACAAGCAUGGACUAGCCUUCAGCAUGACUUGAACAUGAGUGCUUGUCUGUUAGCCUACUGCAAGAGUGCUGUUAUUUAGGUAUGUGUAUUUUGUAUUACGAUGUUUGCUGAAUGUGAAUCUCUUAAUUACGCCUUGUUCCCAGGACACUAUGGGGCGACCUAGCGUUAUUCUAGAGACAAUUUAAGCAGCAAGCAGCACGUUUAUAAAUUUAUAGACAUUGUUGUUAUAUUUACCGUUUGGAACAUUUACUGUUUGGAACUAUAUUAGCGUCAUCCCAGACUGAGCGGUUUUUAGAGACAUUUUAUCACUAAUACCAGGAUCCCAUAAAGGAGCGUCUAACUUUAGCGUAUACUCAAAUGUCACCUUUCGUAAUUGCCAGUGAAAUUGCAUUUCCUUAUAAUUUGUAUACAAUUCAAUUUCGUUUAUUGUCUCAAUUGCAAAUGCAAACUUAUUCCCCUACUAUAACACUCAAUACUUUUUGAGUGAAAGCAUAACAUGGCGAGAGGUAUUAGCACAGCGCAGCUUGCAACACUCGUUUUCCUUGCAAAUACACCAAAACAACAACAUGGAUUGUUCAAAUCAUUAUAUAAUCAUUGAUCUCAUAGUGAAACUUACAUGUAGUACGUAUUUGUUUUUCAAAACAAUAACCGAUAUAUUAUACUCAUGCAAAUGACGAUUGUUUAUAUAAUCAUUGAUCUCAUAGUGAAACUUACAUGUAGGUUUUGUUUCCAAACAAUAACUGAUUGUGUAUAUAUACUCAUGCAUGACAAUGCGUUAUGUGCAAGUCAUGUGCUUAAUGACCCGAGAGACAAAAUAUUCAUGGCCUGCAUGGGAAUUAAUCAUGUGAUGGCUGUUCUACAUGGCGUAUAAAUGUCACUGCUAGCAACUAGAAUACAGUAAUAUCUCUACGUAAGUACACAGUAUUUGGUAGAGGCCUAAAAGUGUAAUCUAUAUUGUGACCCCGCAAUCAUCAUCAUCAUUAUGGCUACCAAAAAGAACCCCAAAAUUUCAAAAACAGACUCCAAAAAGCCAGUAGCAGUUAAAGUAUGUGUCCAUCCUAUCAAUGUAGGGCAAGGAGAUGCGAUAUUGCUGGAGGUUGAAUAUUCUGAUGGUAAGUGAUUUUGUGUCUUACGGAAAUAUAGCAUGAUCCAAGUUAUACCUCUGUAUUUA